rnacentral:misc_RNA from 1 species
GGAGCAUCAUCUUUUGUCAGUUCAAAAUCAUCAUUGAUAUUAUUAACUUUUGUUAAUGACAUUAAGUUAGUCUUGGUAUCCACGAGUUACCCAAUGCUCAAAAAAGUAUUUAAUAUGCAUGGGUAUUGUGCAGAGGUUCAAUUAUAUAAUUAUUUUAAUUAACUUUGGAAGAACGUCUAUUGCUACAGCAAGCAUAAUGAUAAAGAAAGUCAAAUCUUU